UAUAUACUCCCUCCGUCCCAAAAUUCUUGUCUUAGAUUUGUCCAAAUACGGACGUACCAAGUCACAUUUUAGUAUUAGGUACAUCCGUAUCUAGACAAAUCUAAGACAAGAAUUUUGGGACGGAGGGAGUAUUAC
rfam:Triticum aestivum genome assembly, contig: Triticum_aestivum_CS42_TGACv1_scaffold_033824_1BL